GCAGUUUAUUUUUUGAGAGAGAGUGAGAGAGAGAGGCAGCCGAGAAAGAGAGAGAGAGGAGAAAGAGCAUCGGGUAAAUUUUUGAGAGAGAGGAGAGCAUUCAAACGAAGGUAAUUGGAUUGAAUUUUUUUUUUUGCUUUGUUUUCGUGUUUGUCCAUGUUUGAAUGAGAAUCAUUUUUUUUGAACUUGAAGGAGAGCAUUCACGAUUUUUUCAACGUCCGAAGGCAUACACCAUGGCUUCUUCUUCAAAUGAAGUAAGUAUCCUAUUUCGUUGAUUUUAAUUUAAAUUCGUGAAUAAGGAUGUUAUUUUCCACAACAAGUAGAAGCAUGUUAUUUUCGUGAAUUAUUUUGGUGACAUUGUUUAAUUCGAAU
rnacentral:lncRNA from 1 species